GAUGAACGCUAGCGGCAGGCUUAAUACAUGCAAGUCGUGGGGCAGCAUGAGUAGCAAUACUUGAUGGCGACCGGCAAACGGGUGAGGAACACGUACACAACCUUCCUUCAAGCGGGGAAUAGCCCAGAGAAAUUUGGAUUAAUACCCCAUAAUAUAUUUGAUAAGGCAUCUUAUUAAUAUUAAAGCUUCGGCACUUGAUGAUGGGUGUGCGGCUGAUUAGAUAGUUGGCGGGUAACGGCCCACCAAGUCUACGAUCAGUAGCUGAUGUGAGAGCAUGAUCAGCCACACGGGCACUGAGACACGGGCCCGACUCCUACGGGAGGCAGCAGUAAGGAAUAUUGGACAAUGGACGAAAGUCUGAUCCAGCCAUGCCGCGUGAAGGAUUAAGGUCCUCUGGAUUGUAAACUUCUUUAUAUGGACGAAAAGGCAUUCUUGUUCACUUGACGGUACCAUAUGAAUAAGCACCGGCUAACUCCGUGCCAGCA
rnacentral:rRNA from 1 species